UUUGAUAGCCGUAAAUGAAGACCUCGAUAAGUUCUUCGGGAGAUUCCAGGUUCUUCAGCUCAAACAUGGCCUGGCUCACCUGCUCGAUGUGAGACAUUCGAGAUCCCUGUGGGCCUGUCCAGGGAAAGGCAAUGAGCAUAGUUCCAAGACCCGGAGCUUUGGGCCUUGGCAGCGAGGUCAAGAGUAGCUACUCACCAAACAGAUAUUUCAGCACCAGCGACUGGACCUGGAAUACUUCUGGAUCUGUCAGGUCUUCAGGAACUUUCACCCACGGGGGGAUGUCUUUACGGGUCACGAGGGUUACCAUCAUCCUACCAAGGAACCAGACUUCAGGGAAGACGAGAUCAAGCUUAUCCACGAUGGC
rnacentral:lncRNA from 1 species